AAUACCUUUCUGCUGUAAUCUCAAGCCACCCAGUCUGUGGUCAUUGGUUAUGGCUGCCCUAGGACACUAAUACAACUGUCCGCUCUUUGGGGAGGAGUGGGGGGAAGGGGUAGAUCUCUUUCCUUUCUCAAGUUCAAGAUGAAACUCCCUGGAGUUGAAAAAGCUGGCUUUCCAAGAGGCCCCGCUGUUCUGAACUUCCAUGACUGAAGGCAAUCAGGCCUUCUUUGUUCUGUUAUUAAAUGCGUGCGGUCAGUAGAAAAAGGUUAGAGAAUGAAAAGCAAAUCUGAGCACAGGAAGUGUGGACGUCAGACUAGUGACAAAGACUCACCCCCUUUCACCCAACUUUCACCCUUGGGUCCUCUUUUUGACUAGGCCUCACCUCGGUCUCUGUUCUUGGAGGGUUUAGUCUUUUUGUUUAGCAAGAAGCCUGUUGGGUACGUUUAGGGAGAAAUCUCCUACUCUUGCUAUCACCCUGGCUUGCCUUCAGCGAGAAUCCCCCUUCCAUUCACUGACCCCCAUCCUGCUCCUUGGCUGUCGAUUCCCGCUAGUUCUUCUUGUGCUCACGGUGGAGCCCAUCUCUCUCCCCUACGACAAACACCCGUUCCAGAGGUCCCCCUGAAUGAGGCUGCCUUACCAUCUUUAACAAGUGUCAGGAGUAAUUUUUUCUUCAGCAUUGGCCAGAAAUUGGGAGGAGAUUUUCCUUUUCCUUUCUCCACCCACCUCGAAGGUUGCAGAAAAUUCAACGGGGACAGUAACCUGACGACAGCAGUACGGAAGAGACAAGGGCACUGCUCAUCGGUGAAGUUCAAAAUGAAAAGCUGUUGGUAAACGCACCUGGGGAAUGAGGACAUCAGAGAGAAGAAACCGGGAAGGAUGCCUGGGAACGUGGCAGGGUGGAGAUCCAAGGGUAAAAGAACCUAACAAAGCAGAAAUGAAUUCAUAGUGUGAUCCCUCUGAGAGAAAGGACACUUCUUUCUAUUCCAGGGUAUGUCUAGAAACAGCUCUGGCAAACCGGUGGAGGGCUGAGAACCACUCUGUGCCGUGACCUGAAGUCCCACGCAAGGAGCAACGGUGAACCCCAGCUCAUUUGGGUGAGAUGGAAAUGUGACGAAGAAGGUUCAACAGACAGUAAUCAAAGUGACAUAUUGACCGAUGAGAAAAAGACUCUGAUUGGAAAAACACCGUUCUAAUAAUGUGCUCCGGGUCAUAGCAACUAAUUAAGAAAAGGGCAGAAAAAGACAUUCAAGCGAUGCAGAAGGCCGUUCACAAAUGCUCGGACACAAUUCAUUUACUAAAAAGGCUUUAGUAGCACAAAAACGCUUCUAAGCUAUGGUUCCCGGGGCAGCUGGAACAAGGCUCUUUUCAUAAACUUGGGCUAAUUUCGGCACAGAGCAGCCUCAAUCCGAAUUCUUCCUUUGGGCCACAGCCUCCUUUGGACACACGGACGGUGCCAUGCGAUCAGGCCAACACCGCACACGGGCACCUGGGUCGGUGGAUGGUUUCCCCGCAGUAUGAUCAAUAAUGCUUCCUAAAAUAGGUCUCAGAAGCUGAGCUUAAAAUAGUUUCAAUUUCUCCCAGUUCCUUCUUAUUUCAAUUCACAGGGUGGUCUCUGGGAACUAGAGCUGAUGGUUUUCUCUGAAGUUAACAAAUUGAUAUUUCGCCUGGAAGCCGCCACGGGCUCGCUUUGGGCCAGCCUUCAGGAGCCCCAGUGUUUGGGGGUCCGCCCCAUCAAGGUGACUCUGAUCCCCUGUCCUUCCCUGAACCUUUUUUUGAGCCUCAACAAUGAAUGCUUUGCACAAAGUGGCAGAGUUCCUGACAGAGAAAAAUGACUAGUACCUGCCUUUGCCCUCAGAAGCUACCAGCUCGGCCUUGAGGGAAGUGAAUAAAAGCAGCGGAGACAGAUGGCUUGCUGAAGCCCGCGUGGUGGGGUGGCCACACUGGGAAGUCAAGACACAAUGGGGAGAGCUGGGAGACGGCUGCCAGCAGCUCAGCUCUAGAGGCCAGAGAGUUUCCGCUUCUUGUUCGCCAAACAAGCGUCCCUGAGGUACUUCAGGGCCUUGUGUCUCCUUCCAGCUCAUUCCUGGCGUGCCUCUCUGGGCCAAACAAUGGAACGGGCAUCAGCCCAAAGCCACUUCAGAAUCAUGAUAGAUUGCAUCUACUGUCAGAAAAAACAAAAUAAAGGAACAAAUUGUUA